rnacentral:tRNA from 1 species
GAAAGGUUUGAGGGUAUAUAGUCAGAAAAUAUUAAUAAAGAAAGAGAUAGAGUCACACACGAGAAAGGCAUUGCCUAGCCAGGUACUAUAGGGACGACAGGCCCGACUAGAAUUGCUCCGCCGUUUGCUUGCAUGCUCGUUGUAUGCUGGAAAUACAUGCAAAGCGAGAGGUUUAUAUACCGAAAGACUGCUACGUUUCUGAUGCCCGGAUGAUCCUCAGUGGUCUGGGGUGCAGGCUUCAAACCUGUAGCUGUUUAGCGACAGAGUGGUUCAAUUCCACCUUUCGGGCGAAUGAGCAAACGCAUUUAAUUGUUUAUUUUCAGAAAAACGAAUGUGCAGUGGUUUAAAACAAGUAGUGGCAAAAUUGUGCAGGUUUUGUUUUUUUAAAAGAGAAACAGCAGCAUACGUUACUUGUUUUCUUCUCAUGUUCUGAACCUGCCUCCAUUGGUAUACAGUAUAUCACGGGUAACCACCAUAACAUGGAAGCAGGGAGCCAUUAAAAACUGUCAAUACUAUAAAACAGCAGCUGUCUUCAACUGAAAUGCUAAAUUCUCAGAAGCAGCAGGUAAGGUGGUAAGUCUGCUGGCUGUACCUGUUCACCUUACAGGAGGGGAUUCUUAUCUGCAUGUUUCUUCAUACAAACCGACAAAAUAAAAAUUAGCAUUCCAGGAAAGCGUCCAAAAUACUGUAUAGUAACAAGAGAUGUGGAGGCUAGGCGGGGAAAAAACCAGCAUUAGGUAACUAAAUAAGCUUCCAUGUUAAUUUUGCAAAGCUGUAACUUUUUUAUUCACCCCUUACUUCAAGCGGUGAAGUUACUUCAAACUGCGGAACAUUAGAAAAAGAGCAGUCAGUCCUCACACUGCUGCUGCAAAUCAGGUUUAAGAAGCCUGGACUUUUUACUUUUGAUAACCAUUAUGAAAUUUGCAUAAGAGGAGAUCUCUACUCAAUCCUCAUUAAGGCAGAUGGGCAAAUAUUGUAUUUAUGCUUUAGAACCCUUCAGUGAUUUAUCCUCACAACACACCUGAAAGGGAGACUGAAGUGAGGCCAAGCAAUAACUGUAUUGGCCAAACCGGGAUUUUAGCUGAUAACACCAGAACGGGACUGGCAGCUAUUUCUAUUAUUUGCAAAUUAUAAUUAUUACACUUGUAUUAUUUCAGUGUCAGGAGCUGAAGUGGGGUGUACAUGCUUCUCCCCCUUCCUGUUUUAUGGUUGAGAGACAGUGAUCGUCCAGAGAUCACCCAGUGACCUUCAUGGCUAACUGGGAGUUUCAACUCCGGGUCUCUAAGAUCCUAGCUCAAUGCUCUAACCACUACACCAUGCUGUCUCUCUGGUGGGUUAGGAUCAUAUUGUGCUGGUGAUCUGUCAAUUGCACUAACUUCUGGGCUCAAUUAAAAGUGCUUGUCUUAACCUUGUAAACUCCUUUUUGGCCUGGGUCUAGGGUUUCUAAUGGCCUGUGUCAGAUCUUUAACAAAGUUUUUUUGUCUUCCAACCAUCCGAGAUGGGACAGUGGUUACCAGGGAGAUGGCAAGUUGGUGGUGGCUCCCCAAUUAUGCUAUUUCAGCAUCUAACAUUUGUUUGUCUUUUCCCAGGCUUUUCCUGAUUUAAUUUAAUUUAAUCCAUUUUAUCUCUGUGCUGGGCUGAUGGGUUCUUGCUGCUCAUUUAGAGUCUGCUGCUCUUGGUAACAUUCUUUAUAUACUUUAAUUGUUGUAAUUAUAUUUUGAUCCUUUGUACGACACCCUGGAAACUUGUUCCAAGGAUGAGAGCUGAAAAUCUCUGUAAUAAAUGCAUACAACAAUAGAUAACCUCCCAGGUCCAAAGUUAACUGUUCCUUGUCCAUGAUCCCAAUGUUGCUGCUUUCUGAACCAGCAAAUUAGUUCCACAUUUUUAAAAGGUGAUGUAGGAAGGAUUGUUACAUGGGCAGCCAGCAUGUGACCCAGUGCUGUGAAUGAUGUGGGCAGGCAAGCUGGGUUUUGUGGCACUCCUGGAGGGCCAGCAGGCCUUAGUUAUAGCACAGAAUCAGACCCACCUAUUGCAAUGGCCUGGAUUAGGACCCAUAAACUAAAGCUGGGUCCCAACAAGAUGAAGGUUCUGUGGGUCAGUGGUUCUCGGACCCAGGAAUGAGGUGGGUAGCCUGUUCUGUGGUUAGGUGUGUGUCAAGCUGCACAAGGAUAGCCUGGUCUUAAUUAUCCACAGACUAAUAGCCUCUCGUAUAGACUACAGCGAUGCACUCUACAUGGGGCUUCCCUUGAAAAUAGUCCAGAAGUUGCAGCUGGUGCAGAAUACUGCAGCCAAGUUGUUAUUGGGCUGCCGUCAUAGCAGUCCAAUGCCAAAGGUACUGCACUGUAGACUACCUGGCCCAAUUCAAGGUGUUGAUGGAAUGCAAUGCCCUAAAUGACCUGGGUUCUGUUUACAUGACAUUAUAUGUUUCCUAAUAUCCAUCACCCCAAGUCUUAAGAUCUGCCAGAGAGACAUUGUUUUGUGAUCUUGAGGACCAGCGUAGCAGCAAGGUGGUGACACCAAACAUGGCCUUCUCAGUGGUGGUGCCUUGUUUAUGGAACCCUCCCCAUUGAGAUACGGCAGUUGUCCACACUAGCUAUAUUUAGAUAACAGGCAAAACUUGUUUAUAUUUUCCGGGUCUUUGGAACCCUAUAAUAUUGAUGCCAGUUGCAGCUUAGGCUUGUUAUUGCUGUUUUGCAUGCAUGCAUGCAUGAAUGAUUUUAUUCUGUUAUAUUUUACAUUAAUGUUUUUUAUUGUUGUAUUUUAUCUUAAUGUUUCUGUUGUAUGCUGUACUGUAGGCCACCUUGUGCUCUGAUCUGGGGAGAGGGCGGUGUAUAAAAUCUCUGAAAUAAUCAAACAAAAAAAUUUCAGCUGUUCUGCAUUUUUAAGAACCAUUCAUUCUUAACAGGGAAGUGAUCCUGUGUUGUAUUCAGAAAGGAAACAUCGACUACUGCCUUGCCUAGAAUUUUGUAUUUACAAAGAAGCUGGGUUCUACAUUCCUGUAUUUUCCAACCCUCCCGUGCUCUCCUGUCUCAUAGAAUCUUUUUGUACGCUUCUCUGACAUUUGUUUGACUGUCCCACAAUGCAACUUGGGAGCACAGCGAAUUCCAGAUGGCUAUUUAAUUUGCACAAUUCCAUCUGUUUCUGCAAAUCAGCAUGUCUGGGGCCAUGGCCCAUAAUGAACUCUCUGAGUCCAAAAGCACUAUGGUAGCCCUUUAAACACUGAACAAUAUGAAGUUUGGUGAUGGGGUUUCAUUGUCCCCAGAGGUAGCUUUGGAAAGAGAGUCUUUGUUCGUCAAAUUGGCAACUCAGAACAGCUAAUCUUGAUGUCAGUUUCAUAAAUGAGCAUAAUAAGUCCUUUUAAAUGUGCGGUUAGAAAAUGAGCACGCUUUUGUGUCUGUCUGGUGUUUUUAUUCAAGAAGCUGUUUGAGAUUAAAUCUAAGCAAUCGAAGUCUAUUCAACUGCUCCCGUCCUGUAAGCAACACAUAAAUAGGAGGUUGCGUGCUUUGUAUUGAGCUAAGUUUGAACUGUACAGCAGGCCCAGUGCAAGACAUUAGAGUAGUGCCACGGGUUGGCCAUCCUCAGUUGUGGCCACACAUUUUUCUGCUGCUGUCAUAGUUGUGGAAGCAACACAGUGUACUGAACAGUGCCAGAUUAAACCCUGUGGAGGCCCCUAGGCAGUUGAAAUCUUGGAAGGCCCCUUUGCAAAUUAUCUCCUAAUACAUCUUUGUAUUUUUGUUUCAUAAUCAAAUCAAUAUUAUUUUGAUCCAUUGUCGCAGGACCCCUGAAAGGCCAGUGCCUAUUUGGUAAUCUGCGACUGGUACUUCCCUCCUUGCCAGGCCCUUAGAUUUUAGUGGUCAUUGGGUGGCAUUAAGAUUUGGCUCGGUGAAGCCAAGCUGGAUUGCAUCCUUGGAAGCCACUCGCUAUCUUAAUUUACCCAUAAUGCAGUGCCACGGCAGACCUAUAGACAGUGGGUUUUUUCAGGGGGUACGCAGUACCAGCACCUCUCUUUUGUUGUUAAAAAGAGUGGCACUUACUAUAACAACUUUGUGGUGCGUACCGGCACUUCUCUCUCUUUUGGUUAAAAGGUGUAGCACUGUAACAACUUCGUGGUGAGUACCGGCAGCUAUUUUUCCAGAAAAAAAAGCACUGCUUGUAGAUCUAUGAAAUUCAGAGGAUGGGGAUAUUUGCGAUUGGGCAGUCAUCAAACACCUGAAGAUCUGGGCAGGGUGGCGCUUUGUAAGAAGUUGCCUCACCAAUGGCUCUUUAAGGGAAGCAGGUAUCACUCUCUUUUGUAAAGAGCAUUCACCACACCUUAGACCCACUCAGUCUCCCCACACUGGCUAGAUCAUAUUUCCCAGGAGGGAUGAGGGUCAAAAGUGGCCGUGCACAUCCAAGCAUCUGGCCACAUGAAACUCAGCCCACCACACCAGAGCAGGCGUGGUCUGAAACACCUCCUCAGGAACUGUCACAAGCUGCAAGGUUGGUGCAAAUCCAAGUGAUUUUAUCCUACCAAAUUAGGAUAGGGAACCAAAUUAGUUUGGCUCGAUUGCCACAGACUCUUCACCGCUCAAAAAACAACUCUACUGGAUGGCAAACUGAGGCUAUAAAGUAAGCUGCUUCUUUGCCACCUUUAUCACCAUCUUGCGCAAUCAUGUAAUCAGGCAGGAACUUGGUUGUCCUUGCUAUGAGUGUUAAGUUGUGGGUGAACAUAUCAGACGACACAGCGAUUCUUCAAACAGCUCUUGUUUAUUCACAGGCCAGAACAGAACUGAACUGAAGGUUCAGCCAGCCUGCUUAUAUAGAGCUCCAGAACAACGUAAUUGUAACAACUUUCUGUAACUAUCCAAUCACUGAAUGUCACUUUCGAUCCCUUAUUUGCAUAUGUGGACCUGAACUAUCUACAGUAUUCCCCUGCUGGCCCAGGGUGCGAACUUCAGUACAUAACAAUGAGACUUGGACCACUUGUGCUUCAAGUAUCGUGAGGCCAUCUUCAUAGCCCUCAGCUUCCCAGAGAACCAGGAAGCCACAGAGGCUCUGCAGUGACCGAGAGGGGACAGCUGUGUCCAUGGACCUCCGCAUCUCCCCAUUUCACAGUGAGACCAGGACCUCAACAGAAAUCACCAGCCUUGUGAGUCAGAAAACCUUCCAGAACAUUCAAAUUCCAUAAGUCUCCAGGAGUGGACCAUCUUCAUACAGUUUCCCUUCCCUGCAGAAAGCGGGGUUAUUGCUAUCAAUGCAAAUCUCCAUCUUACGUCAGAAACACACAGAAAGAUCUCUACAGUCUAAUUACUUGGUUAUUUGCAAUUUGUGAGUGAAAAUUAGCUGCGCUAGCACAAGCUGUUCCACUCCUUUCCAGUCCACCGUGGAAGGAGAACUUUUUUUUUCUUUGCUGCAAAGUACAGGCAAGGUAAUCAUAUGCCAUUAUGAAGAAAAAGUGGAGAAUGGUCUCUUAAAAUGUAUGUUCCGGAUAUAGUUUGCUUUUAUGCAUAUGAAUGUGCUAAUGCAUCCCUGAUCAAACUUACCAGUAAUGCCUUCCCACAAAUAAUGUAACCCUAUGAACAAGCCACUGAAAGUUUUAUGAGGCUGGGGUCACCAAUGUGUCACCCACAGGCAGUGUUACUUUUCUAGAAAAAGAGGUGCUGGAACUCACUGCAAACCCUUGUUCUUGUAUAAUGGCUAUGGUGCCCACCUGAGAGGUGCCGGAACUGUGUUCCGGCAAGUUCUGGAUGAAAAAAAGCCCUCCCUACAGGAUCAGUGGUGUCCUUGAUAGCCCACAAAGCUAGGGUUGCCAUAUUUCAAAAAGUAAAAACCAGGACACCCCAAAAGUGGAAGACCCCAACAUUGUUGAGCUUUCUUUUAGGAAACCACCGAAACUGCUGAGCUUUUUUUAGACAAACCCCAAAGUUUUUUUACAAAAACGCCAAAAUUCCACCUCUCCCCACAUGACCUGACCCAGGCCCUGCAUUUUUUUCAUUUGAAGCCCAUGUCCACAGGAGGUCCAGAAGGUGUCAACAUAUAAACAGGGCUUCCUACUUGUAGAAACCUCUCUCCAGGGAGGUUUGCAUGGUACCAUCUUUAUUUUUAGGUGCAAGACAAAACCUUCCCCCCCCCCGGCUUUUGGCACUUGAUUUGAAGUGUUUUGAGUACUUUUCGCCCCUUUUGGUGGGGCAGGUUCCCUAUGGCCUGCCUUUUUAUUUGUAUAGCUAUGUUUAAAGUUUUUACUGGUUUGUUUUUUUGUAAUUGGUUUAAGUGUUUAUACUGUGUAAAGUCACUUUGAGACAUUUUUUUGUGAGUAAAGCAACAAUGACAACAACAAUGUCAAUGGGCCCCAAAAGGUUGACAACCCCUCAUAUAAGAUGAUACAGCACAACUUUAUAUUUUCAGUUCAGGCUUUGAAGGACAAGGCAGCCUGUUGAAUGAAAAUAAGUAAUAAAAGGACCCAUUUCCUGCUCUUAUACCAAACGAAUUGAUGUGCUAAGUGCAGUGUGUGACAUUAAGAUUUUUGUGCUUUAUGAUGCACUCUGCUGCAAAAAAAUUAUGUUUAAUGUGAAUUGUAGAUUUCACUCUGUAGUCUAUAUGGAUUGAUUGUUUAUGCCUCUAUUUGCUUCUAUAAACUCGCAGUUACUCUGGUAUUUAGCAGCGGAGCUUCAUAGAGUAUGGAACUAUUCCUUAGAUGAGCAGACCGAAUAAAAAUCGAUGGCAUCAUCCCAAAAGUGGUUGAAAUGCAAUCAAUGGAUGACCUAAUCCCCAGCAAAGCAAAUUACUGUUUUUGAUCUUUUUGUCUAAAUGGAGCUAUAAUGUGGUGUGGAGGAUGUGUUUCUCUUUAGGGGCGAG